rnacentral:lncRNA from 1 species
CCCAGAUCAGUUUUUCCUGAACUGCAACCAUCCAUGAAAAAUGAGGCCAAUGCGGAAGUGGCUUAAACUGUAAUAUACAACCACCAAAAUAGGACGUUUCCACCACUGCACAGCUGUGUUAGAUGUCUGAAGACUUCACCUGUCUGCAGCUGAGAGUCCUGAGCACCAGAUAUUAUAGCAGUGUCACUAUGAGGUGGAAACUGAGCGACCCCUGAGUGACCCUGCACCAAGGGAGAGCAGAGAGCAGCCUAUUCAGCACCAUUCAUCUCAUCAUCUAGAAGGGAGACGCCAUGGAAACCAUUUGUGAUCCUCAAAUGAUGAUUUUAUGUUUAAUUUUGUAUGAGUUACAUAAACCUGCAUUGAUAUAAUAGCAGUGAAUACAUUUUUUUAUUAACUUUAAAAAACUCUUGCCUUGAUUGACAAUUUUACAGGACACUUUGAAUUACCAUUAUCAUAUCAUUGGUAAAUACAGGUAGCAUAAAUAAACUAACGACACAUUAACUUUUGAGCUUUUGU